ensembl:lncRNA
GCCAGGCUUCCGUCUGUGUGAUAAAUGUGCUUAUUUGAUAACAGGGAGUGGACCAGACAUAAGUGGUUUUUAAAGAAAAGUACAAAUUAGGUUUUUCUUCAAAACAGGAGGAAUAAGAUAGGGCUGAUAAAAAUGUGAAAAUGGGUCCAGAUUGUCUCUGAUGCUCCCUCCCCUCUGGCCUUCACCCCAUGGGUCUCCCAGGCUACCUUGGAAGCUCCGAGGGACUCCAGGUCACUGAAGAGCCUCCACUUAGUGCCUGUGCUCAGCCUGGUGGCCUGAGCACCACAUUCAGUUGCAUCUGCCCAUCUCUAUCUUCCAGCCUGGAUGUCUAUCCUAAUGGAUUCUGUUGGGGACACCAGUGCCCACGGGUCUCUGGAAGGUACACGCUCUCUCAGGCAUCUCCUGGGGACUGCAAUGCCUUAACUCGAAGAAGUCCCUCCCAGCAAAAUCCCUCUUUGGAGAGAAGGCUGGUGAAGGAGACUGGAGCAGCCUGCCAGGCACCUGCAGGCCACCUCCCUGCACACCUGGUGCUGGAAUUGCAUUGGUUUUCACAACUGCUUUGCUUCUUGGCUUCCCCAGCUCCCUGGAGGCCCAAAGCAGCUGCUCUCCCAAGGCGUUCCUACCAGGGAAGGAGACCCAGCUUCAGCAAAGAUGUCCUUGUGCGUGUGAUGACAUGCUUGGGGCAGCAGCCACUUCCCGCCAAGGACCAUCUUCUCCCAGUGCAAGAUGCAGGCGUCUCAUGGGGCCAAGAAGACCCUAGUCCUUCAGUUGUGUCCCUGUGGAGAAAACAAGUCCCUGCAGGGUCUCGGUGCAUCGCGUGCAGAGUACCGCAAGUGUGAGUUUGCUAAGGUUUGCCUCGGAGGAAGCAACAGCCCUGAGUGCAGAACUCUUGCACGGGGAAGCCUGGGUAACUCCUCUUUCCUUUAUACCAGGCCGUGAGGGCCACAGGGCAGUUUGUCUCCCAAGGGUCCCAGGUCCAAACCUGGUUGGAUUGCGUAGGAUCUAUGGUGGCUGGGGGCGGGGUGGUGGCUGGGGGCGGGGUGGUGGCUGGGGAGUCCCCUCCCCACAACAAAGAAGGGCGUCUUCAGGGCCACCGCUGCACAUGUGUCCCCAUCAACCCCAGGGGCGUCCCGCGACAUACGCAGGGCAGUGUAGAAACCGCGAGGAAAGGGAGGCGCGCUCCUCACGGGCUGCCCGGCGCAUCGCCGCGUCCUCAUCUGUGCCUCCGGGGACCUGUAAGGCAGAUGCUGGGGGCUGCACCCGGCCCCUCGGCUCAGCCGAGCCCUGCCCCCGCGCGGUCCCCGCCCGGCACGCCCAACUCUCCAGCGCCGCGUCUCGGCGAUGACCACCACCCGCCUCUGCGCCCCAGGACGCGCGAGCCGAGCCACCUCGGCGGCAAGCAGCGCCGGAACUUGGGGGCGCGGUGAGUGGGGGCGGGGUGCCGGCGGGCAGUGGCCCCUGCCGGGUGUCUGAUUCUGGCGCUAGAAGUCCUUCCCCGUCUCCACGAAUCGGGGCUGUUAGGUCCUUCCCUGCUCUCCGGGCUGGCUAUGUCCCGGACGCGACAGGUCCAGACGUGGGACACCUCCCUCAUCCGCGCUCGGGACGCGGUUUCUCCUUCCCUCUUCCUGGGGUUGAGGCCCGCGGGUUGGGCAUUGCGGCGAGAGGGCCCCAUGGUUUCGUUUGCUUUCUUACAGGCCCCCCUCGGCCUGCCUGGGUUUCGGUCCCGCCGCGGAGCGGCGAGAAGCUCCCGGAAGAGUCGCGAUGGCCGUGGAGUCCGGUCGUCGGCUCCGGGAGCGCGCCCCGGGAGGAGACGAGGGGCGCCGCGCUGUUUGCGCUGUCGCAGAGGACGCACCAGUCCCCGCAGGCGGCAGCGGUGGAGGGCCCGGGACCCGGUGCCUAUGGGGGACCGGCUCCAAGGCGGAGCGCGCUCGGUGCCCCGGCAGCGCGCCCUGCCGCGGCACCCCGGUCUUCUGUCCUAGCGCACACCCCACCCCGACGUGACUCGGGUGGUUGCAGCGCUCCCGCCCCGUUCCUGAGGGCUGGCGCCGCCCCCACCCGCCCCUCCGCGCCCUACCUGCACCCUUUUCCUUCUCAGGUGGAGGAGAGGGCCGGCGCCCGGUCCUCUGGAGAGAGACGACUCCACGGAUCUGCGGCCCGAGAGACGCGUCUCUCGCCCCGGGGCCGGGUGGUUCGCGCAGGAGGAAGGACCGCGAAGCGGGCUCUGCCUGGGCUUGCCUGGGCUUGUUCAGAGCCGGGCUGCUUCCCUCAGUGGCCGCGCCGAUCUGGGGGGGAUUUCGAGAUUUUGCGGGAGCCUUGGAGCCAAAUCCCAGGGAGGAGGAGGCCGGAAGCCUGCGCGACCAGUUCGCCGUCCAAGGAUGGAGCCCAGGUAAACGCUUGCGUUCUCGGUCGAUGUGAAAGUUGGUAAAAGAGGCAGGAGAUAGAACAAGUACUUUAACAACAAGAAAGAGAUGCCUGUUGAAUUGCGCUGCCUCAGAGUAGUAAGAAGAAUGUCCAAGAAACAACAAAAUGCUCUUUGAUUUCAUAAUCUUGAGAGGAUUUUUUUUUUUUUUGGAUUUUGCAUGGCUGGUUAUUUUUCUCCUCCUCAGUCUCCGUCGUGGGUGCAGGAGGGCUCACUGGUCUAAGAGUGGAAAUAGGGACUCUGGUUUUACUGCCGCUGCUCAGCCACGUGCUAUCUGAGCAAAGAGCUUGACUUCCUGAAAGUGGGGGCAUUGAACCUAGGUCCCCAAGGUGGUUGUGACAAGUGCUUCAGUCACUAAAGGAGUGUUAUAUAAGAAGUCCAGCCUGCCAGUUCGUGUUUUAAAGACAGGAACAGGAGAAAGGGUUUCAAACUUCCAGUCCGGAGGGCUGUCUUCCUCCUCCCCAUCCCAGUCUCUCCUUGCUCCCCACACCCCACACCCCAGCUGGUGGGAAAGCAGUCCAGGCUUGGGGCUGUGGGUCAGGAUGACACUUCCGGGUCAGGAUGGCACUUCCGGUAGUUCACCUUCCUGGUAGGCACAGGAGCCUUGCAUGGAUGCGUCCCGCCCCACCCCUUCCUCCUGCCUUAGUUUAGGUGGAUGGCACCGCAUAAGGGACCUAUGCCAGUGCCUUCAUGGUUUCUGUGCUGCUGGGGCACAGGGAGCAAAGGGACCACAUGCUGGGCAGACAGGCCCAGCCGCUAGCACCCCCAGCCCUCCAUACACCCUUGCUGGUCUCCUGCAGCAGGAAGUGGCUGGGCAUCCUGGAUAAGUGCCUGUGGAGCUCUUCUGGUCAGAAAUCAUGUCAGGAAAGCAAAAUGGCUCCCUAUGAGAUAUGUGGGGCCAGUUCUGCCUCUGCCCCCAGGUCUGAGAGACCUCCACAACAAUGGCUGCUCCCCUGAGCCUCUGUAUGGCAGUGGCUGAGAUGGGGGGCCUAGGGAGGAGGGGGUUCUCCUGUACUCCCUAUUAUUCCCCUUGAAGAUCUAUCCAAAAGCACAGAGCUGAUGGGGACAUUGGCUGGUGCCCUGAGGCCACUGGCAUCAGCUGCCCUGUGAGUUAGUGGCUUGUUUCCUGAGCUUCCCAACCUUGAGGACUGGCCAAGACAGUCCUGCUCCACCUGCCAAUCCAUCUUUCUCUCUGGUCUCAAAAAUUCCUUGGUUACCAGGCUGGGUGUCCCCGAGAACUGCACUAUUACGCCCCACCCCUUGGCACCCAUCACAAAUCAAUGAUGCUAAACCUAGACUGGCUUCAGGUCCUUCUCUUCACCGCAAGCCAGGCAGCACUUCCCAUUGAUGGUACAAGCAGGUCUUCCCCAGCCCUGAACCUGCGCUUGUAACUGGGCCCUGGGCUAGCAGGUACAGGAAAAUGAAAGCACGCACAAAAUGCUGCCCCUGGUUAGAGGCUGCUCAGCCUUGGUUUAGAGGAGGUCAAAUGUAGGCAACAAGAAAAGGACUUGUCAGCACCCAUUCAUUCACUCAUUCAGCAAAUAUUUAUUGAAUCCUUGCUGUGUGCCUGCAUCACCUAACACUGAAAAUACCCCCAUGAGCCAGCCAGGCAGACCCUUGCUUUGGUGGCACAGCUGAUCUUUGAUGGAGGAAAGAGGCAAUAAAUGAACAAAAUAAAUAUUUCAAAUGUUAGGUCAUGAUAAAUGCUGUGAAGGAGUUGGAGGGUGAAGUGCUGGGGAGGGGUGUUGUUUCGCUGGGACGGUGAGGUUAAGUCAGUGAAGUGAGGGGAGGGUUUUUUAGGUGGGAGGGUCAGCAAGUGCAAAGGUGCAUUUGAGAAAUUUACAAGGAAGCCAGAGAGGCUGGAGGUGAGUGGUAACUGUUUAAGUUGGGCAGGGCUGAGAAUUUAGAAUGUAAUCCAAAGGGUGAUGUUCCCCAGCCUUUGGAGGGUUUCGAGCUACAAACGUCAUGAUCUUAUGUUUUAAAACAAUGGCUCAGGCUGCUGUGUAGAGAACAGACACAGGAGUGGCAGCUGGGGAGUACCUACUAGAGGCGAUUCCUUGGUCCUACUAGAGACCACAGUAGCUGCAGGAGGCCUGUAGCCCAGAGGGGAUAGAGGCCAUAGUUGUUGAAGGUAGAGCCAACUGAGUCUGUAGCUGGAUGGACAGGGAGGAUGGGCAGGGGAAAAGACAAAAAUGACUGAAGUUUGUGGCUUGCAUGAUGGGUGAAUCAUUUAUGGAAGCCGGGAAAACUGGGAGGCACAGGCUACAAGGUUCUGAUCUGGCUACAGUAGGUCAUCUGUUAGACACCCAAGUGGAGAUGGUAUUAGAUGCUGGCAGCUGGAGCAUAGGAGAGAGUUUAGGGCAGGGAAAUCUUAGUGACUACCUAAUACCUUGAGACUGGGUGAGGUUGCUGAGAGGGGCAUUUGGGGAGGCUUGGGGAGAUCUUGAGAAGGUAGAAAGGAGUCACCUUGGGAGAUAGAGAACAGACAAGGGAAGUGGCAGAACAAUAUGGCACGUGGUUGAUAAAUAUUUGUUGGGUGGAUGGACACAUAAAAUGUCAUAGGACUGCUGUGCAGUGCUGGGUACCGAAAGGCCCAGUGGGGGAUGUAAUAGGAUUUUAAAUGCACUGGGAUUUCUGGGACUCACAGGGCUAGGGAGACACCAAAGCAGUCUGUGGAAGUGGAAGGGAUAUGAUCUGAGCCUGGGAGAGCAGCCAGGAUUCUGCGGAGAGGCAAAAGUAAAUUGAAGGGAAUGGCAUUAGCAAAAUUAGGAAUGCAUGAGGCAUAUUUAGGAGUCUGAUGCAUUUAUGGCAUAGUUAGACUGGGUGGAGAGUUCUUAUGAAAGGGGGUGGGUGGGGUGGAAUUGGCUGAAGCUCUUUGCCCCCCAGGGGUGGCUGGAGGACAGAGAGCCUGUCCCCAUGCCCUGUCUUUGUCCCCAGGCCUCCACUGGUCAGAUUUUGGGUAACCAGGCCCCCUCCCGCCACCCAGCCACAGUAGAGAGCCUGACAGUACAUCCUCUGGUCUCUGUGAGGUAGAUAGGUCGAGGAGAUCAGGAUCUUCAUUUUUGUUGUUUUGAUAUCAGUCUUCGCAAUAUUUUUUUUUGGUUUCGUUUUGUUUUGAUUGAAGUAUAGUUGAUUUACAAUGUUGUGGUAGUUUCAAGUGUACAGCAAAGUGAUUCAUUUGUACAUAUAUAUGUAUUUUCAGAUGCUUUUCCCUUAUAGGUUACUACAAAACGUUAAGUACAGUUCCCUGUGCUGUGUGGUAGGUUCUUGGUGGUGGUCUAUCAUGAUCCUCAGUUUUUGUUUGUGUUUUUGGCUGUCCUGGGUCUUUGUUGUUACGUGAGUGCUUUCUCUAGUUGCAGUGUGGGGACUACUCCUAGUUGCUGUGCUCUGGCUUCUCAUUGCAGUGGUGAAACACAGGCUUUAGGAUGCUGGGGCUUCAGCAGUUGCAGCCCCUGGGGUCUAGGGUGUGCGCUCAGUAGUUGUGGUGCGCGCUCAAUAGUUGUGGCGCGCAGGCUUAGUUGCUCCGAAGCAUGUGGAAUCGCCCUGGACCAGGAAUCGAACCUGUGUCCCCUGCACUGGCACGGGGAUUCUUUACCACUGAGCGACAAGGACCUCGGAAUUUAGGUCCCUAGGGAGUGGUGUGGGUGUAGGCUCCCCCAGAGCUCUCUAGCAGUUCCUGCCGAGCUUGCACUGGUGGCCUUUGCUGUCGGGGUUGCCUGUGUCUCACAGGAAGAAGACAGAGACACCCUGAGAAAGAGUCCUGGCUCCAGCACCCAUGGCAUCAUUUUGCUUUAGGCUGUCUGACAACCAGGGCUGAUGUAUGUGUUAGUCAGGAGGACUGGUAAGAACUACUUUAAAUCCCCGUUUUAAUGACAAAAGAGUCCUUAGGAGUGAAAGCUUUGGGUGGCUGACCUUGGGUGUCCGCUCCCAUUCCGGGCCUGGCUGUAGAUGCCAUGCUAACGCUGCCAGAUGCUGCAGUCCAUUAGCAAGUAUGGAUCUUUUCUCUCCUUUCAAAGGCACCUCAGUUCCCCCUGGGACCCCAAAGUCCAUGAAGCUCAUGGCUUUUUAGUCAAGGACUUGCCUGCCAGGCCCAUCUCUGUCAUUGGCUGCGUGAAUCAAAAUACAGCUUAACCUGCCUGGGUUUUGGUUCCUCAUCUGUAAAGCUGAGCUUGUGUUAGGACCUACUUCACAGUGUAAAAUCAAUUAGAUAAUCUACAUCAACCAUCCACCAGGGCACUGUGGUGGCUGUUAGGUAUCAAGCAUGUUUAAUACUUUGACUAAAUCAGAAGAAACUUCCUCUAUACUGAUAGAAUGUAGUGAGGUUUUUGAAGUUUUUUGUUUGUUAGAUUUUUGCAUUGCAGAUAUCCCUUUCUUCCCCUUCCCCAAAAUUGCUGCUUUCCUUUUUGUUGUUGUUAACCAGUGUUGCAAAUAUUUAAGUGGAGCAGAAUGCCUUGGGUGGAUGCAGAAAGAAUACUCUCUGCUCCCAUAUCCUUUAUAUCCUUGGCUGUGGGCAGGUGGUAAUGGGCUUCUCAGGUAGCGCUAGUGGUAAAGCACCCGCCUGCCAAUGCAGGAGAUGCGGGUUCAAUCCCUGAGUGGGGAAGAUCCCCUGGAGAAGGGAAUGGCAACCCACUCCAGUAUUCUUGCCUGGGAAAUCCCAUGGGUAGAGGAGCCUGGGGGGCUACAGUCCAUAGCGUCACAAAGAGUUGGACAUGACUGAAGCAACUUAGCACGCACGCACCGGCAUUGGUAACCGACCUCCAGCAGCUCCCAUAAGUGGCGCCCAUGGUCAACCAGUCUAGUCCUGACCUCUACUGCCCUGUCAUUUGAUGCUCGUCUUGUCCCUUCCUGUCAGUGGUGCUGAGUCACUGCCGCCGGCCUCCCUGCCUCGCUUAGCACCAGUCUGGGCAGCUCCUGCCCAAUUGCCAUCACCUCCUCUGGACUGGCCCAUCCUCCACUUGGCAGAUCAGCACCGGGCUGAUCACAGCUUCCUAUGAAGAAAGUGGAGUUUCGACACUCAGUAGAUGGGAAAGUGGGCGGAGGAAAGGGAGGUUUUACCCAGAGGGGAAAGAGCUGGCCUGACUGUAGUGGGGGAGGGACGUCCAUACUGGAGGAGGGGUGUUAGUUGACUUGAGCCUAAUUGAUUCCUAAACCGGAUGGUAAAACAUUUUCUGAGGUUGUCACAUCAUCUCACAAUAAAAUUAUUUAAACUAGACUUGAAAGUGGGUGACUACUGUCGUAACCCUCUUUGAUUAUGAAACCCACCACCUUCACCAUGGGGUGAAGCAGGUUUAACAUCGGCCACGGAGCAGUUCCUCCCCCAUGAUGACCGCAAGGUGAGUAAUGGUUCCCAGAAUUACCUGCCCAAACCCCAAAGCAAAUUCAAAGCCCUUGCCUCCAACCUGGAGAUGCAGAGAAACACUUCUUCAUAAUGUGCAGAGAAACAGCUGGUUGGGGGCCUGUGUUGAAUUUCCUUUCCCUGGGUACCACCUGGCUGUCUUCUUGCCACUAACACCCGCCUCCCUGAUCAGGGGCCAAGCCAGUGGAGGGAUGUGGGCUGGGAUGUAGAGAGACCCUGCUAGGGUAAGCGGGCAGCUGUGGUAACCUUUUAGCAGGGGAGAAGGGAGGACGGACCCAGAGUAAUAUUUCUGACCGAGCCUGCACCUUGGGGCCUGAUAUGUCUCCAGAAACCCCACCACCACCUUGGCCCCCACACUGAAGACUGUCCCAUCCCCUCAAAAGCCAUUUAACCCCAGAAUACUUCAGAAACUUCCCUUCAAGCCACUCCUCAGCCACAUCCUCCUACACCAAAAAAAAAAAAAAAAAAAUGACAGCAAACCUUUUCCAGCCUCUCAGUCUCUCCUCUUUACCAGAGAAUCACACCUUCUCCCAAACACUUCCAGAAAUGCAAGCUCAAGUGUGUACACACAGUGCUAAUUAUGUUCAUUUAUGUGAAUUGUUUCCAUUUAAGCCUAAUUACUGUACUAGAGGCUAGCACUUAUCCUUAAAUAUGUGUCAAAUUAACUUUGUUAGAAGGCGUGCUGAAGGCGGUGGAGAAAUAGAAAGAACAUUGUUUGGGAUCGAGACGGUCCUUGUUUUACCCUCCAUUUCCUCGGUGCUUUGCGGCAAGAAUUUAACAUCUCUUUGCGGCAAGAAUUUAACAUCUUUCAACUCACUUUCUUGGAAUAAAAAAAUUCCUGUCCUGCCUUUCUCACAGAGGAUGGCGUGGUUCACACGUAGUCCAUGAUCCACCCCAUGUUCAAGGCUAUGUGCCACAGCGGGCAAGACACACCAUUGCUGCCCACGUGGACUUUACGGUCCAGCCAGGACACAGAAGGUGAAUAAGUAAUGCACAAAUAGCAAACAUUUGUUGAGUGCUUACUGCAUGCCAGGUGCUGUGCUAAGCACUUUUCAAAUAUUACCUUAUUUAGUCCUUACAGCAAGGCUGUGAGAAAGCUACUAUGGUACCUAUUUAAUAUAUGGGGAAACUGAGGCUUAGUGGGGUUUACCUCCCUGGCACAAGUGUGGUUAUGGCUUGAAUGCAGGUAGCAUGACUCAGAGUCUGCAGCUGUGAUAACUCUGCUGCUUCCCCCACCCCCACAAUGUGGGAAAGACUGCAGGGCAUUCCAGAACCCAGAUGGUGUGAAGGCACUUUUAAGAUCCAUGAUCCACCACCUUAGCCCUCUUCUCGCAAUCAGAAGUGAGUCCCACGUCCCAUCCACACCCAAGGGGAGAAGAUGGCAUUAGGGCCUGAGUACCAGGAAGCCACCCUCAUGGGCCCUGAGGGAUCUGUCCACCACCAUUUCUUUCUUUUUAGAAAAGUACUUUAGAAAAGGUCUUCACUGGAGCAUGUGGGAUCUUUAGCUGCAGGAUGUGGAAUCUAGUUUCCUAAUCAGGGAUUGAACUGAAGCCCCUUGCAUUGGGAACUUGGAGUCUUAGCCACUGGACCACUAGGGAAGUCCCCCACAACCAUUUCUAAUUCUAUUUGUGGGCCUUUUGUCCUCAUAGUUUCUUGUCAUGCCAGCUAUUUACAUUUUUUUUUUUAAGUUAGGACACUAGCAGCAUUUCUGACAUUUUUUCCUGAUCCCCCUGGAUUUUGAGGACCUGCCCUCUGGGCCAUUCAUAUCGUCAUGGCUGUUUCCAUGGUUAAAUGGUCCCAGGAAUUUUCUGAAAGAGAAAUGGAGCCGCGGGAGUUUGAGGCAGAGUCAGCAGAGAGAGGGGCCAAGCCCAGGGAGGAAUUCAGACAUUUAAUCAAAAUCUGAAGUUCACCCAUCUCUUCUUGUUCCUUUAUCCAUCCAUUUAUGUGUCCCUGAGCCUGGCUCGCUUGGUGAGCCCCUUCUGGGUCAUGUGCUCAGCUCUUCACCAGUCCCCUUGCUGCAUCCAGGGCAGAAUUAACAAGAGGAGAGGGUGGGAUGCCCUCUGCCUGGGAACGUGGGCGGGGGGACCAGCCUGGAGUUCACUGUGGGGACAGGCGGACAAAGGGAACAGUAUGUUUCUUAAAGCAGAAUGGAUACUAUUUUACCUUCUGUUGGCCAGAUCAUCACUCUGAAGAUGCAAGGCUGUGCCUUGUAGCGUGGAAUCAUGGCCUGAAGGCCUCAGCCUCAGGGCUCCGGGCUCUUUUAUUUUUUAUUCAUUUUUUAAAUUGGAGUAUAAUUGCUUUACAAUGUUGCAUUAGUUUCUGCUGUAGAGCAAAGUAUGUAUACACAUACUGAAUGUAUACACAUAUCCCUCCCUCUUGAACCUCUCUUUCACCCCCGCCCCAUCCCACCCCUCUAGGUCUUCACCGAGCCCGGAGCUGUGCUCCCAGUGCUCUUUUUAAGGGUUGGCGAGUAUGUCCUGGAGCAUCUCCACUUCUCCUGCUCUGCAUCCCUCACUUGUCUCUGCUUGAUUUUGCCAGUGAAUCCAAUUUCAGCAAACCUUUUCCUGCCGUCUGAGUGGCUGCUUCUAAAUUACCGUGGGGCAUGAAACCCCCCCUAUAUCUGAUUAGCAUUGUGUGUAAAGUGUUAGUCACUCAGGUAUCCAACUCUUUGCGACCCCAUGGACUGUAGCCUGCCAGGCCCCUCUGUCCAUGGAAUUCCCCAGGCAAGAAUACUGGAGUGGGUUGCCAUUCCCUUCUCCAGGGGAAUCUUCCCAACCCAGGGAUCAAACCCAGGUCUCCCGAAUUGCAGGCAGAUUAAAGAAUGAGCUAAUAAGUGGAUUGCAAGGACAAUUCUGCCCCCACCCCAAAAUCAGAAUAAGGGCAUGGGUGUCAUUUGAAAACAAAACUUUGAUUCACUGCUUUCAUUUAAUAUUAGUCAUAUCAUUUACUUGAUUUUGAAUUUUAGCUAGCUGUAAAGUUGGGGUAACUAGGUUUACCCAAAGAAAGUAUUGAUUAACAGAAAGUACACAGUACUGGGGGUGCCAGUACAUCCUGAGGAAGGGCAGGAGUUCAGGCUGCUCAGGAGCCUCUUCUUGCCCACAAGCCCUGGCCCCCUCCCUCUUCCUGUAGAAGUGAGUUCACUGAUGACCCCAGGGACAUAUGAGUGCCCUGUGGCUGCUGUAAUGAAUGACCACAAACUGGAUGGCUUAAAACAACAGCAGUGUAUUCUCUCACAGUCCCGGGGGCAUUUCUGGAUGUCUGAGGUCUGCUCUGAGCACAGGCACUCAGCUAAGUGGACCACCCCCAGCCCCCCACCAGCUACCUCCGACCCACCUGGUUGUUAACAAGUGGAGCAUGCAAACUCUGACUCUGAGAGCAGGCUGAGGGUGCUGAUGGAUGAUGCUUGGGGUGGGCACGGGAGCCUACAGCCAGGGCAGGUACUAUGCCUCCCCCAGGAGAGGAGGGCUGACUGAGACUUGAAGCUCAUGUAAAGUCGUUUGCUGAAGCUGGAAAGAGGGUGCCCAAGACAAAGAGGCUGGCCAAAAAGGCACGGAGGCAGGAGAGCCUGCAGAAGGGUGAGCAGAAGGUUCUGGUGUGUGAUCUCAGGGAACUCUCCCCUUUCCCUGCCACCAAGACCCAGUCUCCUUGAGAGAGCUGGUUUGUGGCUGAAAUUUAAAAAUUAGAGCUUCAUUCUUUUGGCUUAAGCCAAACGGCAAAUUUACUCUAUACUCAGAUGCAAAAUCCCCUGAAUGGGUUGAGUUUCCUGCCCAGCCAGCCAGUUGCGUGUCUGAUUCUUCUAAUGACAGGAUUAUUAGCUCAGUGGAUCAGGGAUCAGGCAUGGUUUGGGGGCGUAGGUGAAAAGUGAGCCAUCAAUAUGUGGGGACAGGAGCAGAGUGGAUGGACUGGGGUCCACAAACAUCCCUCCUUUAUAAUUCCUAUUUGGCCAGCCUUGAGCUAAUCCUUGGCUUCCAUAGUGGCUCAAAGAGUAAAGAAUCUGCCUGUAAUGUGGGAGACCUGGAUUUGAUCCCUGGGUUGGGAAGAUCACCUGGAGGAGGACAUGGCAACCCACUCCAGUAUUCUUGCCUGGAGAAUCCCCAUGGACAGAGGAGCCUGGCAGGCUACAGUCCAUCGAGUCACAAAGAGUCAGACACAACUGAGUAGCUAAGGACAGCACAGCACAGAGCUAACCCUGGCUUGGGAAGAUCCCCUGGAGUAGGAAAUGGCAACCCACUCCAGUAUUCCUGUCUGGGACAUCCCAUGGACAAAGGAGCCUGUCCAUGGGGUUGCAAAGAGUCAGACACACUGAGCAAACACAGGUGGUGUGGUGGGUUAGCUGUCUGACCAUGUUGGUUCACUGAGUUCUCCUACCCGGCCUCAUAAACAACCUAGAUCCUGAGCCUUCUCUUUGGGCGUGGGGGGGGUGGGUGGAGGAGUAGGUUCCUCCAUUAAUUUACUGCCCAGAGCAGUGAAUUAAUGUCUGCUUGGCUUCUGUAUCUCUUCCACUCUCCCCGCUGCAACCCAGACCCCCAGUUAACUUCCAGAGUCCAGAUCCAAGACUGGGUCUUCAGGGAGCUGCUCCCUUCUUAUGGAAACCAAUAGGGCAGCAUUUCUAUAGCAUCCGAGUGACUUUUCCUUUUAACCCACUGGGAAUACUGGUGCUGUUUGCCUUCUCACCUGUAUAUUCUUUUUUUUUUUUUUUUCAGUUUUAAAAAUAAUUUUAUUAUUGAGGUGUACAAUAUUAUGUUAGUUUCUGAUAUACAAUAAGUGAUUCAGAAUUCUUUAUAUUAUACUCCAUUUAGAGUUAUUGUAAAAUACUGACUAUAUUCCCUGUGCUGUAUAAUAUAUCUCUGUAACUUAUAUUUUUUACAUAGUAAUUUGUAACUUAGUCCCCUCCCCUAUCUUGCCCCCUCCCCCUUCUUUCUCCCCAGUGUUAACCACUAGUUUAUAUCUAUGAGUCUGCUUCUUUUUUGUUAUAUUCAUUUGCUUGUUUGUUAGAUCCCACGUAUAAAUGGUGACAUACAGUAUUUGUCUUUCUCAGUCUGACUUCCUUCACCAAGCAUAAUACCUCUGGGUCCAUUUGUGUUGUUGCCAAAUGGGAAAAAUUGCAUUCUUUCCUACGGCUGAGUAGUAUUCCAUUAUAUGUUUAUACACCACAUCUUCUUUAUCUGUUCAUCUGUUGAUGGACUUUUGGGUUGCUUCUGUAUCCUGGCUGUUGCAAAUAAUGCUGCUAGGAACAUUGGGGUGCAUGCAUUUUUUUGGAUUAGUGUUUUUCGGUUUAGGGGUAUAUAUACCCAGGAGUGCACUUGCUUGAUCUUAUGAUAGUUCUAUUUUUAUCUCUUUUGAGGAACCUUCAUAGUGUUUUCCAUAAUAGCUGCACCAGUUUGCAUUCUCACCAACAGUGUGCAAGAGUUCCUUUUCCUCCACAUCCUGGCCAAUAUUUAUUAUCUGUGAUCUUUUUGAUAGCCAUUCUGACAGGUAUGAGGUGGUAUCUCUCGCCUGUGGUUUUGAUAUGUAUUUCUCUGAUGAUAGUGAUAUGGGGUGUCUUUUCAUGUGCCUGUUGACCAUCUGUGUGUCUUCAGAAAAGUUAUCUAUUCAUGUUUUCUGCCCAUUUUUAAUUGUGUGGGUUUUUUUUAGCUAAAUGAGCUAUGUGUAUAGUUUGGACAUUAACUCCUUAUUGGUUAUAUCAGUUGCAGACAUUUUCUCCCAUUCAGUAGGUUAUCUUUUCACUUUGUCAGUGGUUUUGCUGUGCAGAAGCUUUCACCCCCAGAACUGGGGUUGGAGAGUAGUGAGAGGUUGAACGGUGGUGACCGUGCCUGCUCCAGACCAGAAACUGAUUGGACAUGGAAAAACCAGAUCUCGGGUUCUGUGGGUCUGAAGUGGGCUGCAUGAAGGUCAAAAUGGCAGUUCAAGGAGGCUGGGCCUUGUUCCAGUUGCGAGCAGACUGGGUGGGGAGAGACACUGAGCCUAGAGGUGUGAGGGGGGAGGAGUGGAAUAGGGUGUGGGAGACACAUUUUAACCGAGCACAGCUUUCCUCCACAUUGUGGACCUCGGGGUGAGCAAUGGGUCCAGAACCUCGUCUUGGUCUGAAAGACCGUCACAGUGACAGUCAACUGCUCAGGUAGUGUCGCAGGAGACAUGGGGUGUCGCGUCCUCAGCCUCCUUCCCACCCAGGCUGCUGGCCUGGUUGGGCCGUCUUUGUUCCCUGUGGUUGUCAGAGAGAGCGGCCCUUGUUCACUGCCUCUGCCCUUUCUCUGUGGUCUUUGCAGAAUCUCGCCAGGGCAGCUUUCUGGGGUCUGGAGCCCGAGGUCCAGAGUCCCUGCAAGACGGCCGUGCAGAGAGCCCUGAGCAAGCAAAGUGUGUUCCCAUGAAAGAGAGCCUGGACGCCAGAUAGUCAGUUCUCGGUCAUCUUUUUUUCAUAUUCUUUUAAAAUUAUAAAAUUAAUAGUAGUGCUCAUAAAAUGUCAAACAGUUCAGGAACUUCCCUGACGGGGUCCAGUGGUUAAGACUUCACCUGCCAAUGCAGGGGUCACAGGUUUGAUCCCUGGUCUGGGAGCUAAGAUCCCACGUGCCUCCUGGCCAAGAAACUGAAACAUAGAAGUGAUCAUUGUAACAGAUUCAAUAAAGAGUUUAAAAAUGGUCCACCUCAAAAUAAUUUUAAAAAAAUCUGUUUAAAAAAAAAAAAGUCAAGCAGUUCUGAGAUAGAUGAAGUUAGUGGGUUGGGCCCCCCCACUCCCUGAAGGCGGCCACUGUCAGACUGGGCUUGGUCCUUUGCGCCCGGACUGUCGGCUGAGCCUCGUGGUAGAAGAACCUCCAGGAGUGUGAUGAGCCUCUGUCUCUGCUGGACUCAUAUCCAGACCCUCAAUUGCAGUGUCUGCAGCUCAGAGCCAGGGUCACCCCCAGAUGCCGGGCAAUCAGCCCAGCUCCAGUCUCUGGGGGCUCACCACGUAGGAGUGACUCUCUGAAUCCUGCUACUCAGGUACCCCCAAACCUCAGCCUAUCUGCAGAGGCAGGGGAUGGAGUCUGGCUGGACUCAGCUUGGGGUGGGGGCCUCGAGCUUCUCAGCUCCCAGCUUCCCUCAGCCCCCUGCCUUCCUGUGAGGUCCCCAUCCAUCUGCACCCUUGGAUGUGUGGCUCCUGGGUGUCCCACUGGCCUGGCAGGUCAGGAACGCAGAAAGACUGCUUUAAUGGGCAGGGCUCUUAUUUAUUUGGGCGCGACAAAGUAUGUGGAAGGUCGUUGAUGCCCGGAAGCACCUGCCACUGGUGAGGUUGUGUGCUGUGACCAUGAGGACUGCCACCGCUCCCUCUCCAUGGCUUCACUGGGAGGUCUCUGCAGCUGCACAGUAGGAGUCAGUUCUGAGGAUAGGGGCCCUUGGGCUGGGGCAGCCAGGCAGCUCGCCCAAGCUGGGGUCUGUACCUAGAGUUGCCUGCAAAGAUACUGACACGUGAUCACUGAGCCUGGCAGGUGUCAGGUGGCCCCCUGGGCUGAGGACAUGUCCAGUGAUUAAAGGUGACCAUUUGUCCGGGACUUUUAAAGACGAGAGGAAAGUCUUUUUUUGUGGUAUUAGAACUGUUUCCCAGUCCCAGCUUUGUUGAUAUUUGGGGCGGUUCAUUUUCUGCUGUGGGUCUGUCCUGUGCAGUGAGAUGGCAUCAGUUUGCCUGGCCCGUACCCACUCGUUACCAGUAGCAUCUCCACCUCCACUUGUGACCACCAGAAAGGUCUCUAGACGUUGCCAGAUGUCCCCCGGGGGACAGACUCGCCCCUACUGAGAGCCCCUGGACUCGAGGACUCAGAUUGGGCUUCCAGCGAUCACUGCUUUGGCAUCAUGAGCUGCUUCUCACUCGGGUGCAGUUUUCUUUGUUCCUUUUCCAAAAGGCUGACCUCAUCGAGCUCAUUUGUUUGUUUCGUUGACUCACCCAGCUCUAACCACAAGAGCCUUCCUACUUUGGGGGAUCCCAAAUGGCUUAUCAUGGGACUCUGUACGUAAAUCUAAAAGAUUUUUGUCUGCUAAAUUGGAGGCAGACACUUCUCUUUUAGCUCUGCUUUGGAAGUCCUUCCCUCAAGCAUUCAAGGACAUAAGGGGCUCCUGCUAAAGAUUUUACUGUGAGCACCCUUGUAGUUCAGUUUUCUGAAAUCGUCAAGCAUUUUUCUCCCAUUCAUUUGGGUCUUAGCCCAGUGACUAGCAUAUGAUCUAAGGGCCAGAGCUGUCUGGAGUUGGCCAGUGCUUGGGAGAUUUUCUUAAGGCCUCUGGCCUAGGACUGACUGGGGAGGAAGGCAGAGGAGGAGCCAGGAAGGGGAAGGGGAGGAUGAGGAGGAAGAAGGAGGAAGGAGAGACAGGUUCUAGGUGGACCCACCCACCCAGAGUCACACCCCAGUGCUGUGCAUCAGGAUCCUUGGGCAAGGCCUGGCCUGUUGGGGGCUCCUCUUGAGGCCCUGAGAAAGCUGCUGCCUUUGAGGUGGGGCUGCAGAAAGCUCAAUGUAGCUUUGAGGACUGAUGCAAUCCUGAGGCCAGAGACCACGCCUUCUACCCACUUGGUGAGUGAGGCUGUAACCCCAAGGAAGAAGGCUGGGUUCUGACUGGUCCUCUCUUGGGCUCCUUUUCCUGCCUCACUGACUCCUUAGGGAAUGGGUUCUGGUUUCCAGGUGGGAGCUUUAGAUCUUAACACCUGCCUUGCACCUGAAAACUCUAGUUAUCGGAAGAGCUCAUGUGCCCACAGCUCUCCUCUCGGGCGUUGGUGCUUCUGUUCUGCUGUGGCUCCCCGAGGUUUGGCUCGAUUGGCUACCUCCGAAGCACGCAAUUGAACUUGAACAGCAGUUGGGAUGCCCAGGCCCACCCCGCUGGCGCCACAUGUGGCCUCACAUUCAGCCUGUGCGGAGAGCUCCAUGCUUGCUAUUGACUUGGGCUGGACUGGCCAGAGAACAGAAGGGACCAGAAGCUAGAUCUGGCUGCCAAGGCCUCUUCAUCCUGUAUGUCAGGACGCUAGCCGGCUGCACCAGAUACCACCAGCCCCGCCAACUGUGCCCAUCCACCCCCGGUUAGCACACGAAGCCAGGACCUCCUCUCUCAAACCAGACAGUACUCCAGGUGCCCAGGGAUGCUUCCUGAAGGGCUGGGGCCAAGAGGGGUGAGUGGGUCUGUGUGCACUCAGAGCAGAGUUUCAGGGGCACCCUUUAUUCCCUGGGGCUCUUCUCCCUGCCCUCACCUGUGCCAGCUCUGAGUUUUCCGGAUUCCAGCCUCCACGGUAGCCGGUAUGUCAGCAGCUGGCUGAAAGCUACUUUCCCAGAAUAGCCACCCAGUGGGAAAGAGCAGCCCUGGAAUUUGACCCUGACAAUCCCCGCGAAGGUCUUGCCCAGGCUCCUGGUCCCACCUGGCUCCACCUGUACCCAUCACCGGGGCACUGUUGGUGGGUGUAGGAGGGCUGGUUUUCUUCUCUCUCCUCCUCCCUUCUUCCUCUUCCCUUUUGUCCUUUUCUCCACCAGCUGUAGAUUUAGAAUCCAGGUGACUCAGGAGGGAUGUCCCAGUGCUUGAGAGGCUGGGCGGUGGAGGGGGUAGGUCAUGUGGGGGCAGAGAGGGGAGGGGAUCCCGGUUGCCAGCGCCUCUCUGCAGAUGAAUGCACACUCAAGGUAGGGCCUGGGCACUGGCAGCAAGCCCAGGCCCAGAGGUGGAGGCGAGCCUGGCAGGUCAGACAGGUGGAGCGAGUCCAGGGGCUUCGGGGCCACAGCUGAGGGUCCCAUCCCCGGUCCUCCCUCAGCCCACAAACCAGGUAAUCCAUCUUUUUAUCUUUUCUGCUGGUUUAGUUCACUGUCAACUUCAGGCAACACUUACGACUUGGGGGGAAAGAAAGCCUUUGAGAUUUUUGAGGGAAAUCAUGAGUUUGUUUGGAGAGUACUUGCUGUGUUUGUAUGUGGGAAACUUGGCCUUGGCCUCAGAAAAACACACAUCUAAUUGUCUGGUCCUUGGUUCUGAAAAGCAGGUUUCUUACAGAGCCUAGAUUGUUGUUGUUGCUGUUGUUCAGUCCCUCAGUCAUGUCUGACUCUUUGCAACCCCAUGGACUAUAGCCUCCAGGCUCCUCUGUCCAUGAGAUUUCCCUACCCAGGUAUAGAAUCUGUGGUGGAUUCUUUACCACUGAGCCACCACAGGGCCCUUAAAUCCUCCUUAUGGAAAAGGAAGACAGCCCACCUAACCACAACAAAGCCUUCCACAGGCUCCUCAUUCACAGUUACAAAAAAAAUCCCGUUUCUGGAGCUUGCCUUCCCGAUUUGCCAUUCAGCAUCCAGGCUCCUUGGGCUUCCCAGGUGGCUCACAGGUAAAGAAUCCGCCUGCCAGUGCAGGACACGUGAGUUCAGUCCUUGGAUUGGGAAGAUCCCCUAGAGAAGGAAAUGGCAACCCACUCCAGUAUUCUUGCUUGGGAAAUCCCGCGGACAGAAGAGCCUGGCGGGCUAGAGUUCCUGGGGUCACAAAGAGCUGGACACAAGUUACUGACUAAACAACAACAAAGCGGAUUUGGGCUGGGAGCUGCCUCUCGCCAAGUCUCAGCUCAGGAGCAUGAAGAGUGCUGGGCUCCUUCCAAAACUCAAACUUACAUUACAGCCCUUGGGCAGAGUUUUAUUUUGAAAUUGUUUGAAGUUUCACGUCACCUCUCCUGCUAAGAUGGACUAGACUUGUGAGAGCCAGUAUCCAGGGUUUUCACUCACAUUUUAUUUAGUCCGGAAGUUGUCCCCUUAGUCUUUGGGGUUGCGGCAGGGAGUGGUUUUGGCUUGAGGGCAGGCAGGGAAGAGCACAGAUCUGAAGAACAAAGCCAGGACUCUCAGCCGGAAAUGGGGACUGGUUUUGUCCUGUUUGGCAUCAUUGAACUUACACACUGCUUCCUCUCAGCGGUCCGGGAACAUCACCCAGGUGCUCAGAGCAGAUGCUACAUUUGUCUCAAAUUGCCCUUGCACUUUGCAGGGAGAGGACACAGAAGCUGCUUCUGCUGUUAAACCUUUUGUAACAUACACAUUUUUUGUUAAGUGGUUUGCCCUUUUUUUUUUCAAUUCCAAGGUAAUUUGUGGUGUUCAAAUUGCUUAGAUAAUGGAAUAUAUUGGUUAGGAUUCCUUCUGUAAGUAUGAGAAAACGCUACUCAAAAUGACAAAUGAUAAGAACAUUAAAAUUUUUAUAAAACAUAAGUGCAGAGAUAAAGGAGCUUUCUGAUGGGUUAUGUAUCCAGGACUCAACAAGGUCAAGGAGUUAAGACUGUCCCUAUUUCUGCUCUGCCAUCCUCCACAUACUCACUUGUCUCCCUCCUGCCUAGCUCUUCCUGGGGUCUCUUGUUGUAAGUGAGGAAACUUUUCCCAAUGCCCCCUGUCCAGCCCCAGCCAAUCAGUGGCAAGGAGGAGGGGGUUAUUGUGAUGGAAUUCUUGAGGCCCAUGUGACCAGGAGAGGAGGGUAGAUAACCUGCAUCAAAUCAGGGUCUGUGAGCAGGUGGAGAGAGGGUGUGAAUUUGGGGCACUAUUGCCACAUCAAAAAUUUACAUUUAUUCAGAUUUGUAACUGAUUUGAGGGGCAGUAACUCUUGCUCCUAAAACACAUGUAUUUUUUUCAAUACGCAGUUCUUGAUGCAAGAGCAGUUUAGGUAAUCAUGAUAUCCACGCUUAGCCUUUCACCUCCUAGGAGGCCCUCUUCCUUAAACAUCUGGGCCAGUGGUUUUUAAGAGUUUGAGCUUUUCUCCUUAAAAAAAAAAAUUUUAUUUAUUUAUUUUUGACUGUGCUAGGUCUCCAUGGCUGCUUGGGCUUUCCUAUAGCUGUGAGCAGGGGCUACUCUCUAGCUGCGAUGUGUGGACUUCUCACUGUGGUAGCUUCUCUUGUUGUGGAGCACAGGCUCUGGGGCACAGGCUCAGUAGUUGUGGUGUGCAGGCCUAGUUGCUCCAAGGCAUGUGGAAUCUUCUCUGACCAGGGAUCAAACCUGUCUCCUGCAUUGGCAGGGUGAUUCUUAACCACUGGACCACCAGGGAAAUCCUUCCUCCCACUUUUGACAUCACUUUGAAAUGCAAGAGGACACUUAGGGCUGGUAUGAAAUGUCUUGGAUUCCUUGCAAAGCUUUGCAGAGGAGCGUGUGAUGCAAAGCCGUGACUCUUUGAGUACCUUGCUUGUGCCACCAGGCUGGGCUCUUACAAAGUACUUGUUCCUGUGGUUCAGAACCGCUCUCAGUUAUGAUUUUCCACAUCUGUGAUUUCCUCCCUGUAUCUCUCUCUCUCACCAGGAGUCUCCCAAGACCCAGGACAUCCUCCCCAUUGAGUCUUCAGCACCCAGUGCAAGUAAUAUGUUAUGGGUGGGUUCAUGAAGGGGACAUUCGUGCUUUCUGAAAGAUGUGCUGUGGAAUUACAAAGGUUUCCUGAGUGAAUUUCCACAUCUCCAUGGAUGGAGAACGGGUUCUGCUUUCCCAGGAAUGGUAACAUUCAAGAGCCUUGUUCUCAGAAUCCACUUUUUCUUUAAUGCUUAAACUUUAAGUGCCAGGAACUUAAAAUGCCCCUGGUGAAGAUGACUUCUGGUUUUCUUGUAUUCUGGUUCUCUGUAUUUUCUUGCAUUCCUGGUUCCCGGGGCCAGCAGCUCUAGCUCUAUAGCAAGAUGUACUGGGUUCGGGGCUGAAAAGGGCCCCUGUAAGAAGAGAAGGGCUUCCCAGGUGGCACUGGCGGCAAAGAACCCUCCUGCCAAUGCAGGAGAUGUGGAUUCGAUCCCUGGGUGGGGAGGAUCCCCUGGAGGAGGGCGGGGCAACCCACUCCAGUAUUCUUGCCUGGAGAAUCUCCAUGGACAGAGGAGCCUGGUGGGCUACAGUCCAUAGGGGUCACAAAGAGCAGGAUAUGACUGAAGCGACUUAGCACACAUGCAAGGAGAAGAGAAGUGAAGCAUCAUCACAGCUCUGAACGGAACUCCGGGCCUUUUAAACAUCUUGUGUUAAUGCAGCAGAAGCUCGCCUGGCAAGUGGACCAAAGGUGUUUCAGUAGAAAGGAAAGUACAUUGAAAAAGUAUGUUCACAUGGGUUGUGACUUUCCAGUAAAGUCUGAUUCCAUGGAAGACUGCUAACUUGGUGUAUUUUGUAAAUUUCAUGGAAUGCAGUCGGAUUUGAGGCACUGACUGAUUAUUCACGCUAGCCUCCUGUGUCUUUUGGAAAAGAUUAUUCCUCAGGUCCCGGCCUCCUAUCUCUGGAAGAUUGUCCUCUCCAUCUGAAAGCCCUGACUGAUGAGGUGUGGUGUCUGGGGUGGGAGGUGGGGGGAGGGGAGUGAGGCAGCCUCCCUAGGUAGACCCCUUCAUCAAGGUUGCUGCCUAGAUUCAGACAAUGGGGUUCUGCUUGGAAAUCAGGGGGCAGGGGCCGCUUAGCAGAGGCUGGUGCAUCUAGUUUGGCUUGGAUACUCCCAGCCCCCCAUCUUGCUUUUUGGAGCCAUCUUUUUUUUGGAGGUUUGCUGCUCUGAGCAGCUUGUAGGGUCUUAGAUCCCCCCCACGAGGAAUCGAACCCAGGCCUGGACACUGAAAGCUCUAAGUCCCAACUGCAGGACCACCACGGAAGUCAUUGAGGCAUCUUUUCUUCCCAGACUGUUUCUGAGCCUGAGGGUGGGCUGGACCUGGAUCUGACAGGCCCCUCAUCUCCAUCCUUCCCACACUCUGUGACACCUGCUCUAGACCUGUGCCAGGGAUGAAGACAUGCCCUGUCCCCGUGUAAUGCACAGCCCUCCCACCCUCAGUAGUGGCAGAGCCACACUUGGACUGCAGCCGGAGAGCGCCCACACUGGCCAGGCGUGCCGCUGCCCCUUGGUCUACAUGUAGUCAUCUUCACAGUGGGAAACCUGCCUCUGCUUCCAGUUCCCAGGGUCCUCUGCCUGGGCCGGCCUAGGCUGGGAGUCCAGGGAGGGGGAGACUCAGACCCCUCUUGUCCCUGUGCUCACGGGAGGGCAUGGUCACUGCAGGAAGUGACUUUGGCCCCUUCCCAAACCUGCUGGAUCAGAAGCUCCACUGUGGGGCUGGGAAACUGCCCCUUUCCAAGAUCCCAGGCAACUCUUACACACAGGAAAGCCCAUGCUCUGACCUGAUGAAUGCGUUCUGCCAGGACUUACCUUUGGGGUAGAAUUGGACGUAUUUGGGGCGUUUUUCCCACACUAAAAAGAUAACGCCUGGCUUGCUUUUAUUUUUUAAAUAUUUAUUUCUUUGGCUGCACUGGGUCUUAGUUGCGGCUCGUGGGAUCUUUGAUCUUCACUGUAGCACAUGGCACCUUUGGCUGUGGCAUGUGGGGUCUAAUUCCCUGACCAGGGGUCAAACCUGGGCCCCCUGCGUUGGGAGUAAAAAGUCUUAGCCAGUGUACCACCAGGGAAGUCUCCUGCCUUGCUUCGUUAGAAUACAGACAUGUUCACCUGUUUGGGGGCAGAAGACUGAGGUAAGCAGUCAUUCCAUCAGCCCCACUGGACAUUUUGUAGCCAAGAAAGGAUAAGCCUGUGUGCCCUCCUCCUACAGCGUGUGUGUAGGAUGCCCUCCCAGGGGCUUUCUCCUCUCUGGCAGAGAGAUUCCUCUGGCUGGGGAGCUGCCUUACUCUGUACCCCCUUGCCUGGAACACAGGUUUCUAGGACUUCCCUUGCUGGGGUACAGAACACCCGCUGCAUGUGUCCCCCCUCCCACACCUUGGAUGGUCUGCAUCCAAAGCCGUGAGUCACGCAGUCUUCAGGCCGCCUCUCUGUGAUGGUCAGUUUGAGGCGUCUAUGUGAGCAGGCUGUGGGACCCAGGAACCGAGCCAGACACUAGUCUGGGUGCUGCUGUGACGUUUUGCAGGUGGGUCAUCAUCCACCAUCAGUUUACUCUGAGUGAAGAUCAUCCAGGAGAGUUGGUGGGCCUCAUCUAGUGAAUUGAAGGCCUUAAGAGCCCAGCUGGGACCCAAGAGGAAGAAAUUGUGUGGUUGGAUGGCAGUACCUGCUCUGGCCCAGGAGUCUCCAGCUUGCUAGGCUGCCCUGCAAACUUCAGCCUGGCCUAGCAGCCCCUGUGAGCACAUGAGCCCACUCCUUGACAUAAAUCUUCAUCCAUAUUUCCUCUGUCAGAACUCUGAUGGAUCCACUCUACACUGUGCCCAGGAUCUGGGAGCAGUCACUGCUGCUUUAUUUUGUUGCUUGCUUUUUUUUUUUUUGGCUGCACUGGGUCUUUGUUGCAGGGCAAGGGCUUCUCUCAUUGCAGCGUUUGGGCUUAGCAGCCCCCCAAGUCAUGUGGGAUCUUAGUUCCCUGCCCCUGCGGAUCAAACCCACAUCCCCUGCAUUGCAAGGUGGAUUCUCAACCACUGGGCCACCAGGGAAGUCCCCAUGAAUUUUAAACUAUUAUCAUUUUCUAACUUCUCAUCCAGGGAAGUACUGGCUUGUUUUUCCUCCUGAUCAGUGUGGGUCGUGGGCCACCCCUGCUGGAAUCUUUGUGAUCUCAGCUUUCUCCUCCAUCCUCUUUCCUCCCCUCCCCAUUUCUUUCUCUGCAGGUUUCAAGCAGAGGCAGGACAGGCCUGCCCCCUGUCAUCGGCAGGGCCAGCUGUGAGUGUUUCUUUGGCAGUGUCUUAGCUGGUUGUUGUGAGUAAUAAUGCAGGAAGCAAUCAGCAAGUAUACUGCCCUAGAAGUGCUGCACGUUGUGGGCCCAGGAGGGAAGAAAGGGGCAAGACGCUCGAACCAUCAUGGGAUGCUGGGACAGGAUGUCGGAGGCUUUGCCCUGCCAUGGCAGCUGUUCCACCUACCGAUGCCAGCUUUGGGUCCAGCGAGCUGUGAGGCCUGCCAGAUUACCAUGACAACAGGAACUGGAUCCAAGCCACCAAAGGAUGGAGAGCCAAGACAGCAGUGGCUUUUUCAAGUCUUGGAUCAUCAGGCACACCCCAUGGCCUCCAGCAAGCCCGGGAUAACCCAACAGCAAUACAGGCCCUGUGUGUCCCCAGAGCCUGCCAAACCAGCUUGGGGUCCUUGCCGUCCUGCCAUUGGUAUCUACUUGCUGACACUGAGUGGUGAGUUCCCCAGUUCACUGUCCAGCUGAUUUUCCCCAUUGUUCUCCAAUAUGGUGCUUAUAGGAAUUCACCCGAAUCCCAGAGGCAAAGCCACGUGCCAGUGGCUGACUCCUUUGACCCCAAUGACUAAAGUAAGACAAGCCUCCAGGGUCUAUGAAGCGAUGGGUACUGUUGAUGCAGUCUGAGGACAGCACCGCUGUGAUCGGCCCUCCCACAGCCUCUGCGUGUCAUCUGCCACUCCACUUCCAGCCACUGCCCAGGGCACCUGCCCUGCUCGUGCCCACCCAACUGGACCCCAUCUCCUAGCUCUGUCUUGUCUUUCUUUGUACUUCUAAACGCUGGAAGGGAGAGGAGACUAUUUCCAUUCUGACCACUUUGUAAGAGUCAGAAGGGCCUUAGAAUGGAUUUCUGGGAUUUGAAAUUGAACCUUGGCCUUGACACACUCUGCCUGAUAGCCCCUCCUCCAGACUAAGCCAGUCCUCUGUCUCUUAUUGCUGGAGAGCAAAGCAGGCAGCCAGAUCUGUUCCUGUGGGAAUGGUCCGGUCCUCCUCUGCUCAGCUGCUCAGUGGGCUGGCUUCAGAGAGGAUCCCUUUGCAUGCACACUGCACUGGCCACGCCUGCGGCUGCCUGGCCACAGCUCCUCUCUGCUCCCCAGAGCCUGUGUGGGCUGCAGCAGGGCCAUCGCAUGCCUGGGAUGCCGGCUGCAGUGAUAGAGCCAGCCCAGAGCCCUCACGGGAGCUCUGACCAAGACAGCAUUUGGGAUCAAUUAUAAGCCAAAGUCUUUACAUUUUUUCCCCCAGUUUUAGGCUGAAGUAAAGAAUGCCUGCCUUCUCCAACCACCAACUGAUCUGGGAGCUUGAGCUUCUCAAAUAAAGGUACCAGACUCCUCUGUCCAUGGAAUUCCCCAGGCAAGAGUACUGGAGUGGGUUGCAUUCCCUUCUCCAGAGGAUCUUCCCGACCUAAGGAUCGAACCAAGGUCUCCCGCAUUGCAGAUGGAUUCUUUACUGUCUGAGCCACCAAGGAAUCCCAAAGGGACCACAGGUUUGAAUUAUGAUUUAACUAGACUGUUAAUUUGAGUUUAGGUAAUAUCAUUUGCAAAGUAGCCUUUUCCUGUCUAGCUUUGCUUUUAGUUAUACCAGCAAGGAGCAUCCUUGGUGGCCCAGUGGUAAUGAAUCCGCCUGCAGAAUAGGAGACCUGGGUUUGAUCCCUGGGUCGGGAAGAUCCCCUGGAGAAGGGGAUCAGGCAAACUACUCCAGUAUUCUUGGCUGAAGAAUUCCACGGACAGGGGAGCCUGGCAGGCUACAGUCCACGGGGUCACAAAGAGUCGGACACAACUUAGCGACCAACACAUGCAGUUAUGUCAGCACAGAAACAUGAUCUGCUUCUCACAUAAAGUUCACUUAUCUGUGACCUGUCUCAGAUGGAGGUCGCCUGUAGACAUCCCUGGAUGAUCAUUCAGAAAACAAACGUCAGGUUGUCCCCGCUUCUGUUUGUCCCUGCUUCUGUUUGGGUCUCAGAUAAAACUGAUGUGUUCAUGGCAGUUGAAUUUACUCCUGCAGUCUUUAGAGCGGAUGGAUAGAACAUUUCUGUCAUCUUUAUAUCUGAUGGUAACAGAAGACAUGUACUUGGAUAUUCAUCUAGCUCUUUAUCUCCUCUCCUGUGGAGGCGUGAGGGGGUGGUGUUGGCUCCACAGGAGUGAGUUUAGAAUAGACUGGUAAAGAGGGCUACUUCCCUGUCUCUGUCUGUCUCUCUCACCCAUACAGACACACCUGGAUGCACGUACGCACACACGCACUCAUGCACAUUGGCCUUGAAUCUGGGGAGUUCGGGGUCCUUAAGUUGAGUAUGUUCGGCCCUGGGGCAGAGCGCACUUCUUCUUUGGGAAUGAAGGGGCAAAUCCUAGUUUGUAGCUGGUGGGUUGGAGAGAGGGACCAAGAACUUCAUGACUGGACUUAAGUUUGGAGGCAGGUAGAGUUAAAUGCAAGUUUUAUGUUUUUUGGGGAAAGUAUCUGUUCUUCUUGACUGAGGCAAAGUGUAGGUUAAAACAUACAUUUGGUUAAAAUGUAUAUGCAGGUGUUUCUCUGGUGGUCUAGUGGCUAAGACUCCGUGCUUCAAGGCUGGAGGUGCAGGUCUGAUCAUGGUCAGGGAACUGGGCUGCCGCGUGACAUGAGGUGAGGCCAAAAAAACAAAAAACCAAAAAAAAUCACUUAAAAAAAAAUAUAUAUAUAUGUCAGCCUAUAUAUUUAAUAAGCUCUGUGGAUCAGUAAUAGCCAUUUCCUAGUUUCAGUAUUGUCCUACAGUUACUGAGAGAAACUGACUCAAAAGUAUAUAGGAUCUCUCUGUAUCUUUUUUUUUUGCAAUUUUCUAUAAAUCUAUGGUUAUUUAAAAAUAAAAAGUUACAACAUAUAUUUGACUAAAUGCUGUGUGGUGUCCUCGAUUGGAUCCUGGAACAGAAGAAAGACAUGAGUACAGAAACUGGUGAAACCCAAGAAAGAUCUUUUAACAUUUACCAAUGUUAAUUUCUAAGUUUUGAUAAUGGUUAUGUAAAAUGUUAACAUUUAGAGGAAACUGAGUGAAGGAUAUGAGGGAAUUCUCUUUGCAACUUUUCUGUAAAUCUAAAAUUAUUCCAAAAUUUAAAGUUUAUUAAAAACAAAAACAUGUAUGUAUAUAUAUAUAUAUAUGUAUGCAUGCACACAUAUGUAUUACAUUUAUAUUUAAACACAUCCACAAAACCAGUGUCCUUAAAAAUACACUUUCUUUAGGUGAAGCAUCAGAUGGUGCCUCUGAGGUGAGGCAAUAAUUAAGGGCCCUUUCAACAAAUGAACUGCAAGGUCAUUUAGUUCCCUAAUUUGUCUGUAUUCCCACAGGGACCCUACACAGCUCUUAAAACCCAAUAGGAACCUGAAUUCUCCCCUCUCUGAAUCAUACAAUAGGGAAAGUUCAUUGUAGUACAAUCUCAUUUUCCAGAUCAGAAACUGAGGCCCAGAUAAGAACUGAUGUAAUUUAAAUUGAGAUUUCCUGGAAUAUUUAAAACUGAAUUUCUUACUUUUUCUGUUUGACCAGCCUGCACUUGGACACAUACAAAAUAAUCAUAACUGUAACCUUUGUACGUUUAAGGGAAGAGGGGCAGGUGGGAAGGAAAUAAUCUUUGCCACUCUUUUCUGGGGCUCUCUCUCCCCAGGAUCAGUGGUUAAAAUUGGUGGGUGUGGUGAGGAAUCUGGUCAAAAUGAAAGCUUUAAUUCAGCACCUAGUCCGUGCCCUACACCAGACAGGGUGCUAGUAGGGAUGCCCAAGGACUAGGGGACAUUGGGGGAGUUUUGCUCCCCAGCGGCCUCUUAUAGCAGCAGCUGCUGGAUCCUUGGGAAAACCACUCACCCAACUAGAUGCAGUCAGGGGCUCCCCUGGUCAGUGUGAGUCGUGAGCUCAGGGUGCAGAUGAGGCGUACUUGCAGUUUGCCGGUCCCAGUGCACACAUUCAAAGGGGGAUCCUGUCACUCUGGCGCCCUGGAUCCCCCAAGCUCCUUGGUCCCAUCCUGCCUAAGUAUUCCUGCCAUCCGAGGAGCUGCCUUGUUUUCACUAGAUAUGAGUUCACCAGCGUCCCAUUUAUUGUUUGAAACUCACAAACUAAAUGAUAUGCCUACACAGAGGAAGGAGUGGUUCCUUCACUCUUCAUCCCCUGCAUCUCUCUCUGGACAUUACCUGGAGCCACUUUGGACAAAUCCAUCCUUUGCUGGAACUGGAAUUGCCAAAGUAAACAGCCAAAUACAUAGGCCCUUGAACUCUUUAACUAAGAGGUGCCUUGUGCCCCUUUGGUGUUUCUGUAGUAAUUGUUCAGGCUGGUACCUCCUCACUCCAUCCCCAGGAUCCUGAGGCAUCAUUCCAGAACAGAGCAUCAGGCCUUAGUCUAAUUUCCGUAAUGCACAGAAAUCACAGAUUAUCCUGUCUCUAAAUGACAAACUUUAAGGAUUGUCUUUUUCUAUUUGAAGUUACUGCUAAAACAUGGAAUACAGAUAGGAGAGAAGAGAUGAAACUAUUAACUUUUAAUAUAGAAGCCAUCUCCCCCAGCUUAUGGUCUGGAAGUUUCCACGAGGCUCAGAUCUGAAGGAGCAGGUUAUCUGAUUCUUGGUGCUGGUGACAAGUCAGUGGCUCCUGGUGAGGUUGCUGUGCCCUGGACACUGGCCUCACUCCUCCCUUUGCUGUUCCCUGAGAGCCAAGGCAGCUUCAGGAUAUGUAGUCUGUACAGUCAUCACAGGACCCUGUGCUUAGCAGGGCCUGCGUCUGGGGUGUCACCAGUGGAACUUGGUAAUGACUUUGGAACAAGGACUUGCAAUUUCACUGUGCACCUGGCCCAUGAAUUGUGUAGCCACUUUUGUCUAAUACCUGCCACAAGCCUUCAGGCUGGAGGUAAUGAGGACUCUGUUGUCCCACGUCAAACUCAUGACCCAGUUUGGGAUCAGGACUUGGUGACCACUUCCUGAGACAGCCUGACACAGAACAGGUGCUGCAGCAAAAGAUGGUGACCGACCCACCCAGAGAGUUGGGGCGAGGGAGGCUGGGUGGGACCAGAAUUAUUCUGGCUGAACCCAGGGCCUCUCAGGGGACACACACAAAUACAGAACCUGGGUCCAGUGCUUGGGGCUGCCUCUGACAGUCAUAAGAAACUGGCUCAUCAGAACUCAGGAAUGUUUCUUGUUUUGUGACUUGUUUCUGCUUGGGGACUGUGUUACUCUGCUAGGGCUGCACUAACAAAGAACCGCAGAAAAUCUGUCUUCUCACAGUUGCAGAGGCUGGAAGUCCAAGAUCAAGGUGUCAGCAGAGCUGGUCCCAUCUGAGGCCUGUCUCCUUGGUUCACGGAUGGCCCUCCUCUCACUGUGUCCUCACAUGAUCUGUGCCUGCCUGUGACCACACCUCCCUUUUUAUGAGAAUGCCAGUCAUACUGGAUUAGAACCCACCCUGAUGACCUCUAACCUGAUUACCUCAUUAAAGAACCUAUGUCCAGGGACUUACCUGGUGGUCCAGUGGGGUCCCAAGUUCAGUCCCUGGUCAGGAAACUAGAUUCCACAUGUCACAACUAAGAUCGAAGAUGCCGGUGCCACAGCUAAGACCCUGUGCAGUCACAGAUAAAUAAAUACUAGGGGGGAGAAAAAACCCAGUCUCCAAAUUCAGUCACAUUCUGAAAUCCUGAGGGUCAGGACUUCAACUAUGGGUUUGCAGAGUGGGGUCGGGAUGGUGGUGACACAGUUCAGCUCAUCAUUGAGAUUUUUCUGAACACUUCAAAGCCAAGUAUUAAUAGCUUAGCAGUAUCUUUCCCGUCUAGAGAUGCACUCUGGGGCCUGUUCUCUGUCCAUAGGAAGAGGCAGUGAAAGACCCAGGAGCCAACAGAACGUAGCCGUUGGAGAUUGCUCAAGGGCAUGGGGCGUGGUCACUUAGUACUGGCUCUCAGAAAGAUGCACAAGAGUGAUCAUGCAGAGGGCAGGGACCAUCUGUGCCGGAGUCCUGUGGGGCCUGAGCAAGAGGGGUGAUCGGAACCACAGGACUUGGGUCAGAGAUGGGAGAAGGCCAGCAAGCUCAGGGU